UAGGGAAUCUUCCACAAUGGACGCAAGUCUGAUGGAGCAACGCCGCGUGAGUGAAGAAGGUCUUCGGAUCGUAAAGCUCUGUUGUUGGUGAAGAAGGAUAGAGGCAGUAACUGGUCUUUAUUUGACGGUAAUCAACCAGAAAGUCACGGCUAACUACGUGCCAGCAGCCGCGGUAAUACGUAGGUGGCAAGCGUUGUCCGGAUUUAUUGGGCGUAAAGCGAGCGCAGGCGGAAUGAUAAGGUCUGAUGUGAAAGCCCACGGCUCAACCGUGGAACUGCAUCGGAAACUGUCAUUCUUGAGUGCAGAAGAGGAGAGUGGAACUCCAUGUGUAGCGGUGGAAUGCGUAGAUAUAUGGAAGAACACCAGUGGCGAAGGCGGCUCUCUGGUCUGCAACUGACGCUGAGGCUCGAAAGCAUGGGUAGCGAACAGGAUUAGAUACCCUGGUAGUCCAUGCCGUAAACGAUGAGCGCUAGGUGUUGGGGACUUUCCGGUCCUCAGUGCCGCAGCAAACGCAUUAAGCGCUCCGCCUGGGGAGUACGACCGCAAGGUUGAAAC
rnacentral:rRNA from 1 species